ACGGGAGGCAGCAGUGGGGAAUAUUGCACAAUGGGGGAAACCCUGAUGCAGCGACGCCGCGUGAGUGAAGAAGUUAUUCGUAAUGUAAAGCUCUAUCAGCAGGGAAGAAAAUGACGGUACCUGACUAAGAAGCCCCGGCUAACUGCGUGCCAGCAGCCGCGGUAAUACGUAGGGGGCAAGCGUUAUCCGGAUUUACUGGGUGUAAAGGGAGUGUAGGUGGCCUGGCAAGCCAGAUGUGAAAGCCCGCGGCUCAACCGCGGGACUGCAUUUGGAACUGUUAGGCUUGAGUGCAGGAGAGGAAAGUGGAAUUCCUAGUGUAGCGGUGAAAUGCGUAGAUAUUAGGAGGAACACCAGUGGCGAAGGCGGCUUUCUGGACUGUAACUGACACUGAGGCUCGAAAGCGUGGGGAGCAAACAGGAUUAGAUACCCUGGUA
rnacentral:rRNA from 1 species